rnacentral:ncRNA from 1 species
UUUCACGGUAGAGGUGCGGCGGCCAUGAGUAGCCGGGCUGAAAUUCCGAUUGUCCUUCGGAAGCCCAUGCGAAAGGGGUCGAUAAAUCCGCCGAAAUCGGGAUGGAAAGUUGCAAUUCCUCCUGGUUGGGGAGUCAGGCUAAAUCCUGCUCACUGUCACUCGUUUCUUCUGGCGGGUGGAGCGCUAUCGGGAUC